UAAGUUGGUAGUGAAAGCGUGUGGCUCAACCAUAUACACAUUACCAAAACUGCUUUAGCUAGAGGAUGAGAGAGGUUAUUGGAAUUCCCUGUGUAGGAGUGAAAUCCGUAGAUAUAGGGAGGAACACCGAUGGCGUAGGCAGAUAACUGGCUCAUUCCUGACACUAAGGCACGAAAGCGUGGGGAGCAAACGGGAUUAGAUACCCCGGUAGUCCACGCCGUAAACGAUGGAUGCUG
rnacentral:rRNA from 1 species